rnacentral:rRNA from 1 species
CAGUCGCCGCGGGAAUACGAAGGGGGCUAGCGUUGUUCGGAUUUACUGGGCGUAAAGGGUGCGUAGGCGGAUUGUUAAGUCAGGGGUGAAAUCCCGAGGCUCAACCUCGGAACUGCCUUUGAUACUGGCGAUCUUGAGUCCGGGAGAGGUGAGUGGAACUGCGAGUGUAGAGGUGAAAUUCGUAGAUAUUCGCAAGAACACCGGUGGCGAAGGCGGCUCACUGGCCCGGAACUGACGCUGAGGCACGAAAGCGUGGGGAGCAAACAGGAUUAGAUACCCCCGUAGUCCCUGUCUCUUAUAC